UCUCCCGGGACUAGAGCGGGCCAGCCCGGAGCUGUUCUGGUAGGUUUGGCGUGCGCGGCUUUCUGCACAUCUAGGGCGAGGUUGCACGUUGCAUCGACGUUGCCUCCUCUUGCUUGCUUCAUUAGCCACCACUUAGGCCGCUAUUGCAGAAGUCUCCAUACACUCUUAAAGGCCGUAGAUUCGGGACGACCUUGCUUGGUGACGGAUUUGCACCCCGGGCAUUUUGCUUACACGAGUUGGACGCACACCUGAGUCGCAGAUUCCAUUUCCCCCGACUUUGCAGCUACUCUUUGUCCCCAUUAGCGGCUCAGAAUCAAUGCCCCUUGGUGAGGCUUCCAGAGGAGCAAAAACAGCGACAUGAUUCCACCAGCAGCUCUGUAGAGAUUGGUCCUCUGUCUUCCCUUCACCAUUGUGUCCUGUUAAUGUUCCAGUGUUAAAUAGCAAAAUGAGCGACCGCUAUCUAGAACAAAGGAUCAGCAUCAAAUUUUGCGUGAAAUUGAACAAGUCUGCAAGUGAGACCCAUCAUCUCUUAAAAGAAGCUUAUGGGAGUGACGUCAUGUCAAGGGCCAGAGUUUUUGACUGGUACAAAAGGUUUAAAGAAGGACGGGAAGAUGUUCGAGAUGAUGCCCGAAGCGGUCGUCCUGUUACCCACCGAACAGAUGAAAAUAUCCAAAAGGUCAAGGACUUGGUUUGUUCAAACAGGCAGUUAACAGUGAGGAUGAUGGCUGAAGAGUUAAAUUUAGAUAAAGAAACUGUUAGACUCAUUUUGAAAGAAAACUUGAAGAUGAGGAAAGUUUCAGCCAAAGUUUUGUCAGGUGUUUUGAGGGCUGAUCCGAAAGGUGGAAAACUUCACUUUCAGUCUGGUCUUUCAAAGGAAACGAGGAAAAUUAGUUCUUGUCUAAAGAAAAAGGUAACAAGUUCUGGAACUUGGAGUCGUGUCCAUUGCCAGGCUGGAGGGGAAGCAUCUCUGUCUGUAUCCCACCCCAGAAUCCACUGCUCUGCCAGCCAGCUUCUGCAUACUCCAUCUUCAGCAAGCCUGCCCACCAAGGCAGGUCAGGAUUGGUUCAUACCUUGGUGAGAUAGGUGAACUCAAACUAGGAAGCUGACUCACUGCUAGGUACCUGUGUUUGCUGCUCAUCUAUUUCCAGUCCUCUCUACCACUCCUUCCUACAUGUCACGGGCAUCCUUCUUAUUCUUUAUGGGACUCCUGGGCGGUCUUCCUUCCCAUUCUCCACAACUUUGAAGAACGUUUGGCUGUUAAUGUCUGGUACUUGUUUGUUCUUGAUUUCUGUUAAUUCGUUUGGAUCUCUUGACUACCCAGACUUUAGCUUGUGGCAGCCCUGCUCCUUUGUCUCAGCAUUCUGCCUCAGGGAUUUGUGGCUGUGUGAGGUGGGGACAGGACCUCUCUGUGCCGUGACCCCAAUCUUCUGGGAGGACCCCAAAAGAAGACCUGCAAUUCCAGUCUGCUUCACAGUCAGGGCUGAGGUGUGGCAUGAAAGGCAGGGGCAUGCUGACUGAUAGAGUAAACAAAACUUAGGGCUGCUGCAACCCAGAUGAUUUAAGGACCCCCCCUCAGGCCCCAGGUGUUGGCCACCAAUACUGAUUUCUCACUGACCUAUCUCUCACUGAGACCUGGGCUUUUUUUCAUUCUAAUCCUGUGCUUUGAGCCCCUAGUCAUUUAGGUAUCCCCUCUGCUGGAAGAGGAGGAUCUGGUCCUAGAAAUAGAAACCAGGGACUCAGACCCAGAUUGUGACGUGUAGGGAGGAGGACCAGGUGACACUAGAUUCUAAAUUAAGGGAGUUGUGGCCUGUGUGCUGAUUCCCGGAUGGUGGCCUGUUUUUAGUAACUAACACCAGCAUUGUCAGGUGUUAUGUGAGCACCUGCAGUUUUUAGAACACUGCUGGGCAUUGACAAUGUAUAAAGUUAUGACAGAAGAUCGCCAAGGGCUUUGGGACUUCGUGAAUGAGGUGAUUCUGAACUGAAUCCAAAAGGAAGAAUGAGACAAGGGACUAGGAAAUUAGGGAAACUUCCCAGGCAGGUGGGACAGCAGCAUUUUUGGCUAAAAUAGCAAAGUCCAAAGAGGCGCAUAAUGGUGUUGCUGAAGGUGAAUGACUUGGGAUAAGUUUCUCUUCUCUGCUCCCAGUUAUAUGCCAGUAGUUUACCUUUUGCUUCCCCUGAGUCUGUGUAUAGGUUUAUAAUAAUGCUCUUACUUGAAUAUCUAAUUUUCCAAUCAAACCUCCAAAAAAGCAGUUUCUACAAGUUCACUGUCCUUUAUCUCUUUCUCUCUUUCUGCCAUGAUUUACUGAACAGAACUUUCCCAAGUAGGUACCAAGUCAUACGACUGACUAGAAACAUCUCAGAAUGCCUGGCCGGGGUGUCAGGAGGGGUGUGAGAGGUGGACAGAAACAGCUUUUCAUAGGAUUAGCUAAUGUCUAUGUUUUACUCAAGGGUUUUUGCCCAUAACCGCUCCUGUCAUUUAACUAGUAAGGAAGUAAACAAUAUUGGUGGAUAGUAGAGUCAACAAAGAUACUUUUAGUUCUGUUCCUUCACUUUAUACCCACUUUGGUAAAUCACAUGUUCUUCACUAAUACCUGUCAGUUUUGAGGCACAAAUCAAAGUUACUAUGCAAGAAUACUCUUAAGCUAAGCAAUAGCUAACAGACUUCUACCUACUUAGCAAUUUCCAGGCAUUCCAUUUCAGGACCAAUAUGACUUCUUAAACAAGGUGAGGUGCAAGUUUUCCCAUAAGUACUAACCACCAGGGACACUGUACUUCUGGAACAAGUCCCCCACUUCUGGCUAUUGCAACGUUGCAGCAGAACCUCACAGUAAUCCUUACUCGGGCUCAUAAUUCUGGGCCAGGCUAUAUAAUUCUGGGCCAGGCCUACACCAGCAUCCUACCUAUAGACCUCUUUUCCAACACAUUACAGAACAAAGGUCCUGAGAGUACUUAGUUCUGCAUUUAUUACUGUCCUAUAAACAGACCUUGACUAACCCUGCCAAAGAUGCCAAAGCCUGUGAUGGAGUGUAGGGUACCAGACAGGGCUAACACAGAGCUACAGGAAGCAGGUGAUAGGGAGUGAAUCCAAGUAGCUAGAAUGAAAAAGACUUGAUUGACUACCUUAGAUCUUAGAUUUACUAUCUUGCCACUCAGGUAAGUUGAACGACUACCUGAACUCAUGGCCCAUUUGUAAGGUUCUCAGAAAAUAUUCAGUGACAUUAUAAUAAACCCUGGAUUUGGGGCAAGCAAAAUUACUAUCCAGACUUCAUCCAGAGCAAACCAUUCACACAUGGCUGCUUAGCACCAGAGCAAACGAAAGAGCUCUUACAGAACAGCACCGCUAAGGUCCCACCCCCCAAACCUGGUUUCUUACUGGGCCUGCAUGUAGCAGCCCAAGCCUCUUGGGCUCCUGCCGGUGUAGCCCAAGGGAUCCUGCCAUGCAUCCUGCAGCCGACUCUUGUCCUUGACCUUUCUCAGGCUCCUCUCAGUUUAUUCUCCACCUGUUUGCUCUUACUCCUCUGGUGCUUUGUUUUCUGGCUCUGGGCCACACCUUCUUCCAAUAGCUAUUUUUAGACACUGGUGUUUUUCCACCCGGUGACACCUUUCUCCUCUGAUUUUUGGACACCUCUCCCAGCUCUCCUCUUGAACUCAGGAAGUUGUCUUCUCUAGCCCUGCCUUCCUGUUAUGAAACUGAUUGGGGUGAUGUGGGGGAAAGCUUUCUUGGUUUAUUUUAUAAAAGGGAAUACAGGAAGGGAAAAAAAAAAAUCCUGCUUUUGGCCACCAUGGGUUCCAUUUCCCAGAGGCAAUCAGUGUUACCAGUUCUUAAGGAGAGGUUUGGUAAUCUCUGGUACUCAGGACUCAGGAAAGUUUUUCAAAGAUUCGGGUUUUCACCACUAUCCAAAAGCAGAACAUUCUUAUUAAUAUGACUCGAUCGGCUAUUUUUUAAGUCUGACAAUACUCAAAAAGCUUUUCCAUAUCAAUUACCGUUAACAGUGUAAUUAGGGGGAAACCUACCUAGAGCUGUUUUCUAAGCCAUCUUUUCAGAUCUGUUUUUCGGUGAUUUGGAGUUCAAAGUUGCCAUUGCAUUAACUUGGCUAAAGCUGGGUGCUGAUGACUUGACAUCUUACAGGAGUGGGGUACUGUUGGGGAAUCAUCUGUCACAGCACCACAUACCCUGCCCAGGCAGCCUGCUAUAUGCAGGUAUCAUUGUCACCAGUUCUCGGUAGGCUCCUUGGCACUGAGUCUCCCUGGGGUGCCCGGUGGCUCAAUUAGUAAAAACUCCUGUUUGUUGUGUAUGUAACCCUGUAUCCUCUAACCUGUUCUUAUUGGGUCAGACCUCCCAGAUUUUUCCAGGCUUUUUAUAUGCUACCUGAGGCACACUUUGUCUUCUCCAGCCUCUGCCUUGUCAAGUCCUUGCAAACACUGUCUCCAAUGCAUUCCCCUUUUCCUGGUAUUAAUAUCCAGAAACAAAAAUUCUAUGGUGGGAAACCAGUACUUCUAGGGACCCACUUGGGCGUAGUGAAUGGGUCAGCAACUUUUUCUGUAACGGAAAUGUCUUGAGCUAUGUGGGCCAUACAUUCCGUUGUAACUACUCAAUAUUUUAUUGCAGACCUAGCUCCUAUGGAAACAGAUGAGCUUGACUGUGCCCCUAAUAAAACUUAUUUAUGGAUUUUGGAAUUUGAAUUUCAUAUAAUCGUCACAUGUCACAAAAUAUUUUUAUGUUUUUUCAACCAUUUGAAAAAUGUGAAAAGCUGUGCUUAAACUUCUUAGUUUUUACAUCGUGGAAAAACAGAUGGUGGGCUAGGUUUGGUCUUUGGGCAUAGUUUGCCAGUCCCUGUUCUCUUGUACAUAAAGGGUGGAUAUAAAAUGACAGAUCAUUGAUCUUUUUCCAUCAAUAACAUUCUUAAUGCCAAAUAGAUCUGGCAAUGCCUGACAAUUUACUAUGUAGAAAUUGUGAAAUAUUGAAGGGAACUUUAUGGUGCCAGAGCUGAAUGAUUGACUAUUUUACCUUGACAUAUUCUGGUUCAUAAAAUGAGUUUUAUGCUGUUUUUUACAAAUAAUGAUAUUCCAUAAGCCACUACCUAGUACAUGCCCUUGUCAUAGCUCAAGAACAACUUUGAAAAUCCGCAAAUGGUGCCAAGUUGCAACCAGCAAUAACAGAAUGAACUAAGGUGGUUCUAAAACUGCCUUGCUCUUAGGCAGCAUUUGAAGAAGCCUGUUUUCACCUCUGGAAAUGACUGCUAUGGAGGUGACAGAUUCACUGAAUUAUACUAUAUUUAGACUCUAAAUAUAUGUUGUACUAUAUAUAUUUGCAGCUUUUAAUUGUUUUUACUUGUUUUCCUCUAAAAAACCAUACUGUGUCACCUUCAAUUAAAAUGAUAUUCCUAAAAUGAAAUAGACUCUCUGGACCGAACAGACCUUCAGUAGAGUGUUUAAUCCAGCCAGUUACUUUUCCCUUGAACCCAGGAGUGACUGAUUCCUACAGCUGCUGAAAAGCUUGCAUCUUGAAAGAUGUGUUGAUUUAACAAAUUUUUAUUGAGUGACUAUAUGUGCCAGGCACUGUCCAUAUGCUAAGGCACAGCAAUGGACAAAACAGACAGUGAUCUUAGAUUUGACAGUCCGAAAUCUAGUUAUGUUAUCUUCAUGCUCACAAAACUUCUGUUCCAUGUGCUCACACUAACUCAUUGUAAAGCGCUUACCUGGAGAUAGGUGUGACCUUUCCCACAGGCCUCUUUACUUGCUCAUGAUCCCUCUCCAACUGCAUUAAUAAUUUGAGGACUGUAUGUUCCAUUUACAUUUUAUUAUGCUUUAGAUAGAUUUGUGUUGGUAGAAAAACACACUGGCAAUGCUGGAAGUGUAAAUUGGCAACAGCUUUCUGAAAAGCAAUUUGGCAGUAUCUAUCAGGAGCUUUAAAAAUGUUUAUAUCUUCUGAUCCUCUAAUUCCACUUCUGGGAAUCUGUCCUAAAGAAAUAGUCUAAAAUGUGGGCAAAUUUAUGCUUUACAAUCAAGCAGUCCAGCAGUAGAAAAUUGGUCAAAUAAAUUAUGACUACACAAUAGACUACACAGCCAUGAUAAUUAACGUUUGUGCAGGGUUAAAACCACAUGGCAAAAUGCUUGUGAUGUUAAAUAAAAAGGAGUGAUAUACAAAGUGGUGUAUAUAAUUCAGAAAUGUUUUUAAAAUGAUAGAAAGGAUAAACUAACUGUGUAACGUGUUGUGGUAUUUUUUUUUUAAUUUUCCUGUUUCUUUAAAAAAAAUUCCUCCAACAUAUUGAUUGCCAAAAUAAAACAACACCAACAUGUGGCAAGACUGGUGGGACAUGGAGACUGUGCAAUAAGUGUUGGUGACAGGAAUGCUACCAGGGACAGGGUCUGUGACCAGAGAAGUCCACGAGUGGCUACUCCUGUGGUAUAAUCCCAGCUCCUGAAUGACUCUACAAAUCCGUAGUAAUUGGCAAAAAGCCUGACCCAUUGCAUUCUGUGUCUGGCCAGUUAAUGAGGCCUAAACUUAUUUUUGCUCCAAGAAUACAGAAGAAUUCUGGCCCUCCCUGGUGGUGCAAGGGGUUA